AGCAGCCGCGGUAAUUCCAGCUCCAAUAGCGUAUAUUAAAGUUGUUGCAGUUAAAAAGCUCGUAGUUGAAUUUCGGGAUCAUCAGGUUGGUCGUGCCUCUGGUAUGUACUUGCUUCGAUGGUCCCUCCUUCUUGAAGAACCGUAAUGCCAUUAAUUUGUUGUUGCGGGGAAACAGGACUGUUACUUUGGAAAAAUUAGAGUGUUUAAAGCAGGCAAUCGCUUGAAUACAUUAGCAUGGAAUAAUGAAAUAGGACGUUCGAUCCUAUUUUGUUGGUUUCUAGGAUUGACGUAAUGAUUAAUAGGGAUAGUUGGGGGCAUUAGUAUUCAAUUGUCAGAGGUGAAAUUCUUGGAUUUAUUGAAGACUAACUACUGCGAAAGCAUUUGCCAAGGAUGUUUUCAUUAAUCAAGAACGAAAGUUAGGGGAUCGAAGACGAUCAGAUACCGUCGUAG
rnacentral:rRNA from 1 species